rnacentral:rRNA from 1 species
UACGUAUGGUGCAAGCGUUAUCCGGAUUUACUGGGUGUAAAGGGAGCGCAGGCGGCACGGCAAGCCUGAUGUGAAAGCCCGCGGCCCAACCGCGGGACUGCAUUGGGAACUACCGGGCUGGAGUGCCGAAGAGGUAGGCGGAAUUCCUAGUGUAGCGGUGAAAUGCGUAGAUAUUAGGAGGAACACCAGUGGCGAAGGCGGCCUACUGGACGGUGACUGACGCUGAGGCUCGAAAGCGUGGGGAGCAAACAGG